GACGUAGGGCGCGAGCGUUGUCCGGAUUUAUUGGGCGUAAAGAGCUCGUAGGCGGUCUGUUGCGUCGGCUGUGAAAACCCGGGGCUCAACUCCGGGCCUGCAGCCGAUACGGGCAGACUAGAGUUCGGCAGGGGAGACUGGAAUUCCUGGUGUAGCGGUGAAAUGCGCAGAUAUCAGGAGGAACACCGGUGGCGAAGGCGGGUCUCUGGGCAAUAACUGACGCUGGGGAGCGAAAAGCGUGGGGAGCGAACGAGG
rnacentral:rRNA from 1 species